GUGGAGAGGGCAACAACCCAGACCGCCAGCUAAGGUCCCAAAGUUACAGUUAAGUGGGAAACGAUGUGGGAAGGCUUAGACAGCUAGGAGGUUGGCUUAGAAGCAGCCAUCCUUUAAAGAAAGCGUAAUAGCUCACUAGUCGAGUCGGCCUGCGCGGAAGAUUUAACGGGGCUCAAACUGUACACCGAAGCUGCGGAUAUCUUUUAGAUAUGGUAGAGGAGCGUUCUGUAAGCUGAUGAAGCUCAAUUGAGAAGUUGGGUGGAGGUAUCAGAAGUGCGAAUGCUGACAUGAGUAACGACAAAGGGGGUGAAAAACCCCCUCGCCGGAAGACCAAGGGUUCCUGCGCAACGUUAAUCGGCGCAGGGUGAGUCGGCCCCUAAGGCGAGGCUGAGAAGCGUAGUCGAUGGGAAACAGGUUAAUAUUCCUGUACUUGUAUAUAUUGCG
rnacentral:rRNA from 1 species